rfam:Gossypium arboreum cultivar AKA8401 contig_39970_1, whole genome shotgun sequence.
GUCGAUAUCUCCGAGUGGUUAACGAGACAGACUUGAAAUCUGUGGGGCUUCGUCCGCGCAGGUUCUCGAACCCUGCUGUCGACG